AACUUUCGGCAACGGAUCUCUUGGCUCUCGCAUCUAUGAAGAACGCAGCGAAAUGCGAUAAGGAAUGUGAAUUGCAGAAUUCAGUGAAUCAUCGAAUCUUUGAACGCACCUUGCGCCCUUUGGCCAUUCCGAAGGGCAUGCCUGUUUGAGUAUCAUGAAUACCUCAACUCCUCAUGGUUCGCUGUGAUGAGCUUGGACUUUGGGGGUCUUGCUGGCCUGUGGUCAGCUCCUCUCAAACGAAUCAGCUUGCCAGUGUUUGGUGGCAUCACAGGUGUGAUAACUAUCUACGCUUGUGUGGUCUUCCACCGGAUAACCUUCAGCUAUGGAGGUCCACUGGAGCUCAUAAAUGUCUCUUCUCAGCGAGGACAGCUCUUUGAAUGUUUGAUCUCAAAUCAGGUAGGACUACCCGCUGAACUUAAGCAUAUCAAUAAGCGGAGGCU
rnacentral:misc_RNA from 1 species